GUCACAUUAAAAUAUUGAUUUUGACCCAUUUAAUUUUUCAAAGUUACAGACAAAAUCUUACAUUUUCCUACAUGGCACGAUAAUCAAGGAAUAUAAACUUUAAUAGUAUAAAUAUUACGAAUGCAUAAAAUAAACAAAUACUUUCCAUUAUAUACUUCAUAGUUAUCUUCUUAUAAUAAAUUACUAAAAGUGGGUUAUGGCGGUUGUAUAUUAUUUAAUCACAUACUCUCUUCCAUAUAUCACAACAUUACAACACUAGCAACUUACCAUAGUAUGUUUAUAAUAGAU
rnacentral:misc_RNA from 1 species